rnacentral:rRNA from 1 species
UACGUAGGGACCAAGCGUUGUUCGGAUUUACUGGGCGUAAAGAGCUCGUAGGCGGUCUGUCGCGUCGGAUGUGAAAGCCCGGGGCUUAACCCCGGGUCUGCAUUCGAUACGGGCAGACUAGAGUGUGGUAGGGGAGAUCGGAAUUCCUGGUGUAGCGGUGAAAUGCGCAGAUAUCAGGAGGAACACCGGUGGCGAAGGCGGAUCUCUGGGCCAUUACUGACGCUGAGGAGCGAAAGCGUGGGGAGCGAACAGG